UACGUAGGGGGCAAGCGUCAUCCGGAUUUACUGGGUGUAAAGGGAGCGUAGACGGACUUGCAAGUCUGAUGUGAAAAUCCGGGGCCCAACCCCGGAACUGCAUUGGAAACUGUAUAUCUAGAGUGUCGGAGAGGCAAGUGGAAUUCCUGGUGUAGCGGUGAAAUGCGUAGAUAUCAGGAGGAACACCAGUGGCGAAGGCGGCUUGCUGGACGAUGACUGACGUUGAGGCUCGAAAGCGUGGGGAGCAAACAGG
rnacentral:rRNA from 1 species